GCUGGGUUCGAAUAACGGCUAGUUCGUCACACUUUCGAUGUGAAUAUAGGGGUUCGAUUCCCCUACCCAGUA
rnacentral:tRNA from 1 species